CAGAAAGUAGUUUAGUUGAAAACGUCAGCUUUGGGAGCUGGUGAGGAAGGUUCGAUUCCUUUCUUUCUGA
rnacentral:tRNA from 1 species